AUUCUGCCGGAGCAAGCUGUCCUCCUCACACCCCACAGCUGCCAUGAGGUGGGGCUGUAUCUUACCUUGGCUUUGCAGUCACCUUUUCAGGUGUCUUGGCUGAGAGUCUCAGAAAACACUCCGUCCACCCUCAAGUGUGGAAGAAGGUCAGGAAAACGAAAAGAAGCAGAAUAUACUGAAACCGAGUUGGCAGCUGGAAUAUUAACAAGAAGCCAACUCACCCAUGUUAGAGAUCUAGCUGCUGCAGGAGUUCGGUCGUAGAACCUGGCAGCACGAGAGCCAGUGCAGAGCCAUCUGGUCUUUGGGAUUGUUCCUGGACAGACCAAGAGCUUUGCUUGCUAAGAAUCAGGUCUCCGGAGGAAGCCUGAUGGUUUAAAGAAUUGCUUUUCCUCAGACUAGACUGGUACCAUCUGUUAUUCCUACAAGACUCAGAGACAAACUUGCCUCCACCUGUACCUGCAUUGUAUGACCUUUGGCUGCUGAUGCAAAGAGGAGAAGAGAUGGCUGCAAGAAGCAAAUUUUCACAGUUGGCAGGAGUGAACAAAGUCACAGAGCAUGCGGUUUUUUUUCUUCUCCAAGUUGGGGGGACAUGGGGACAAGAAACUAAGAAAGAGUACAGGAUCCUUUGAUAUGCUUUAGCUUCUGAGUGUCCUAGGCUUUAGGGGAAAUAUGCCCCCAGGGGUGCAAGGGAAAUUGCUCUUAUCACAGUAGCCCCUGUCUGGGACCGAAAGCUCAGCCUUGUAGAGGUCCAGCUGCUCCUCAGCUGCUUUCGGAAUCCACUGGCUACUUCCCAUCCUGUUUGUGAGGGAAGCUAAUAGGGUCUCUCUGCAGUUCUGCAACCACUGGCAGUGUUUUGAAUGGCUUGAGAGCUAGGAAAACAAAUCCUUCAUCAUCUUUUAAAUGCAGUCACCUUUUCCAGGAAUGUGCUGACAUGCCCGCAACCCCCUGCCGUGUCAGACUGUAGAAGUGGUGUGAUCAUGGUCAUGUGGUACGCUGAAGGGAGGAUUCUGGACACCAGGGGCUGAUCAGCCAGCAAGGCACAGGCUUGUUCCAUGGCAGCAGACGGCUGAGAAAUGAUGUGAAGCAGACGGAGUAGGAUCCUGACCAUCCUCUUCUCUCUGCUCUGUCUGCCUGUUAGGAAGGACAAUCUCUUUGCUGAAGCUGCAGAACUCUAGCUCAGAAAGCACUCCUUGCUAGCCCUGGACACAGGACAGCACACCCCCAUAGAUAAAAUGGAACCUACUGAGCCUUAGGAAUAAGAGAAUGACUUAAGAGAGAAUACAAAUUUACUCUGAUGUCUAGAUCCUCAUCUUUCAUCCUGUUUUGUGGUAAGGCAAAUGUCACAGCAGGGAAUGUUUUCUGGUCCUCUACCGUGCAUGCUGAAACACCUCCAUGUCUUCACAAGCGCCGCCUUUAGUCACUACCUCACUUAGCGGGAAGUAUGCCAAGUCACCAUAGUUGAAGAGAACAGGGGUGGAGGCUGUAACUGUACCAAUGCAGAGGGUAUGAUGCGUGAGUGUUCUCAAGCUGAAACAGGAUGCUGUUCUCACAGACCACUCACUGGCCUUUGCACGUCUGCACAGUGCAAGCCAAGCCGAGUAACCAAUGGACGAUUCUGUUUCCUCCUCCCUCCCUCCUCUCAUUUGACUGGACAGAAUCUCAUCUUGUAGCUCAGGAUGGAAUCAAGCUUAACCUCACUCUAGAGUGCUGGGUGUAUAGGCAAUAUGUCCACAGAGCAGAGUAUUUCUUAUGAAUCGUCAUCGCCAUUUUUUUCAGUUGUAAAUUGCUGCUCUGUUAGAUUAACAGAAGAGUGCUACAUUGUGCAUUUAGGCCAUGAAAGCCAACGGAAAGCACUUGAAGCUUUGGGGCCAAAGGUGUCAAAACCAUAUAAAAUACUCAACAAUGGCUAUUGGAUUUUCCAGUGAUUUCUCUUUUAUGGUUAAUUUUAGCAUAUGAAUUUAUCUCAAUUCCAGACAGAAUCAUAAAUGAAAGCCAAAGACAAACCUUCAGAUGUUCAAGUCCCCAACAGGGAAGCUCUUCCAAUGUUCCCUCUUGGCUUGACCUAAGUUUCUGCUCAGACUGGGAAUCCACAGGGCUCCCUAGGGUGAAGAAGUGUGGGGACAGAGAAAUGCACACAGAAGGAAAUGUGGAGGCUGAUGACACAGCCUCAUUCUCUGUCUCUCCUCCCCCCUCAUUAAAUUAGAUGCCAGAAAGAUGGCUUAGUGGUCACAGUGUUUGCUGUUUUUCCAGAGGACCAAACUGGGCUUUUCAGCACCCGUGUCAGGCAACUUUCAACAGUCUGAAACUCUGACUCCGGGGGACCCAAAACCCUCUUUCGGCCAACACAGUCACCUGCACACAUGUGCACACACAAACAUGGACACACACACACACACAUAAAUAAAUACUUUUCAAAAACCUAAAGAAAUUAAACUGUUCUUUUCUUCAACCCACAAAAUCUCCUCCCAUAUCAAUUUAUAGAUGGCGUCUUAGAAAGAUCUGUUUUCAAAUCCUCUGUAUUCUGAGAAUAGGCACUCUGCUCUUUUCUCUAAACAAAUGUUUCUAAUGAUAUAGCCUAGUUUUUGGUUUUUCUGCUUGGAAGUACUAAAUAUUGGGAAAUUGUUUACAGGGUGUUACACAGCCUUGGUGAGCACUCUUCUGGCCACAGCCUUUGGUACACACUGUGAACGCAGUUUGUCUUGUGUGCGUUGGGGACAGGAAUAUUGACACCGCCUGGGGAAACACUGCACACAUGAAGUAAGGACCCAUGUGCUUUCUCACUCAAGGGAUCAGAGAUACAAAGUUAUUACCAAACAACGAUUCAGCUAGCGUUGACUCUGCUCGAACGGGUUUUUCUUCAACUUCCUGGAAGUUGAGGCAGAAUUCUCAAGAACUGGAACUUAGGAACUACGUGGACUUUGGACAUGGAGAGUCAUCCCACUGGGGUUGCUGAAGAGACACGGCUAAGCAAGGAACGGACCGUCUGGGCUGGCCGGUGGUUCUGCUGCUGCGCUUCCUCCCAGGUCUCCUUACCUGCAAGGCUCGCAGCCCAAAGCUCUUCAACCCAUCCAGAACUGACAGCCCUGUUUUCUCUCUCUGACAAAAGGCCUGUGGCAGUGGUUCUCCACCGAUAGGUCGCGACUUUCUUGAGGGGGUAGAAACCACUGGAAAACAUAGAUAAUUUACAUCAUGAUUUAUAACAGUAGCAAAAUUAUAGUUGUGAAGUAGCAACAAAAUAAUUCUAUGGGGGUCACCACGUGAGGAUCCCUAUUAAAGGGCCGCAGCCUAAGGAAGGUUGGGAACCACUGGCCUAGAGGGAUGUAUUGGGAGCUACGAAGUUGUUCGGGGAGAGCUAUGGCAGCUAAAACACGUUUUUACUGAAUAUAUUUAAUAUUUAGCAUUUGAAGUGGAAAAUUUUCUGCUUAUGCUAAUAUUUAUUCUCAACUCUUAAAUCCUGCAUUCAUUUUGCUGACACGUUAGCAGCUAAAUUUUUAUAUUUUUCAGAUUACUUUUUAGUCUUUCAUUUACAGUUGAAUGUCGACUGAAUAACAGUCAAUAACUGAAAUAUGAAAUACCAAGCUUGUUAAAGUAUUGAUUUCUAAACGUCAACCCCUUCUUGUGGAGCACAGUUGUACUUUGAAACUUUUUUCAAAUUGUAUCUUACUUUUCUGUUUCUGAACUUCGUAUUAGAAGCCAAAGUAGCAGCAUCUGCUCUUUGAUAGAUUCUUUGACAAUUCUGAUUCAUAUCUGCUGUUCUUCAAAUUUAAACUUUUAACUUAA